rnacentral:rRNA from 1 species
AGCAGCCGCGGUAAUUCCAGCUCCAAUAGCGUAUAUUAAAGUUGUUGCAGUUAAAAAGCUCGUAGUUGAAUUUCGGGGUUAGUAGGUUGGUCAUGCCUCCGGUAUGUACUGGUCUCACUGAUUCCUCCUUCCUGAUGAGCCGUAAUGCCAUUAAUUUGGUGUUGCGGGGAAUCUGGACUGUUACUUUGAAAAAAUUAGAGUGUUUAAAGCAGGCUAACGCUUGAAUACAUUAGCAUGGAAUAAUGAAAUAGGACGCUCGAUCCUAUUUUGUUGGUUUCUAGGAUUGACGUAAUGAUUAAUAGGGAUAGUUGGGGGCAUUAGUAUUCAAUUGUCAGAGGUGAAAUUCUUGGAUUUAUUGAAGACUAACUACUGCGAAAGCAUUUGCCAAGGAUGUUUUCAUUAAUCAAGAACGAAAGUUAGGGGAUCGAAGACGAUCAGAUACCGUCGUAG